UGUGCUCGCGCUGAGGGGCAAGCCUGUCAUUUCUCAUUACCAGUUUCCCAGCAGGACUCGCACUUGCCAAUUCUGGGACUUUGGUCGAUCGCGUUAGGAGCCUCUAAAAAAGGCGAGGGAAAAUAAUAACCAACAAAACAGCAUGAGAUUUUGGUCAUUUUACCGCAUUCACGCGAUUUUGCCCCUUGUGGCCGAAUCUUUUUCCCAUCAAUUCAAAACAGUGAUGUCUUAAUUCUUCUGUUUGAAUCAGUUCGACGAUGGAUCAGUAAAUACGUGCCGGGACGAGGUUUGGUUUCGAUACGUACAACGCUCUUCCCUGGUCGACAGGCACCCUUGGCUUAUUCAUCUUCUCCUGUUCCAUGGUCUGAUAUUCCGAUCAGCGAGGCUCUGUGAAGCGGCCGCUUCUCUUUCCCUCUCUCCCUGUCAUUUCGUACCGCCUCGAGGAAUUGAUCUCGAGCAACGGGACACUGGAUAGCAGGAAGGGAGGUGGGCUGAGUUACAGUGCCAGACUGUGUGAUGCCGAAUCCCCAAUCUCAACGUCAACGGUCCAGAGCUCCACCAUCAUCGGCGCGGCCUCCAGCUCGAUCUAGAGUUCCGCUCAGGCAAUUAUUUCGGGUGGCAUCAGUGGCUGGAGGCAUUCAGUUUGGAUGGGCCUUGCAGCUCUCUCUCCUGACGCCGUAUGUGCAGCAGCUUGGAAUUCCUCACGCGUGGGCUAGCAUAAUUUGGUUAUGUGGUCCUCUUUCUGGUCUCUUUGUUCAACCCUUGGUGGGGCACAUGAGUGACAAGUGCGCCUGCACGUUCGGCCGCCGGAGACCCUUUAUCCUAGUCGGAGCAGUGUCCAUCAUUAUUGCCGUUCUGGUCAUUGGUCACUCUGCUGACAUUGGUUGGUGGCUCGGUGAUACGGAGAAUUCUCGGCCGAGAGCAAUAACGGUAUUUGUAAUCGGGUUUUGGAUCUUGGACAUGGCCAACAACAUGACUCAAGGUCCUUGUAGAGCUUUGCUUGCCGAUCUUACUGGCAAGGAUCAUCGAAGGACACGAGUGGCAAAUGCCUAUUUCUCUCUGUUUAUGGCUAUUGGUAACAUUCUUGGCUAUGCAACUGGGUCGUUCAGUGGUUGGUACAGGGUUUUCUCUUUCACUGUUACCCCUGCAUGUAAAAUUAGCUGUGCGAAUCUCAAGUCUGCUUUCUUUCUCGAUGUUGUUUUCAUUUUGAUAACCACAUAUAUCAGUGUUGCAGCAGCUCGGGAAGUACCUCUUGGUUUGAGUGGGGCAGCCCAUACUGAAGAAGGGGCAGGAGAGUCGGGUAGUGCAGAAGAAGCUUUCCUGUGGGAGCUACUUGGGACAUUUAAAUAUUUUUCAGCUCCUAUAUGGAUAAUACUGUCUGUUACUGCACUGACUUGGAUUGGAUGGUUUCCAUUUAUUCUGUUCGAUACUGAUUGGAUGGGUCGGGAGAUUUAUGGUGGUGAUCCAAAUCAAGGCCUUACUUAUGAUGCAGGAGUUAGAAUGGGGGCACUUGGUUUAUUGCUGAACUCAGUUGUUCUUGCAAUAACAUCAUUACUCAUGGAAUGGCUAAGCAGGAAACGGGGAGCUGGCUUUUUGUGGGGAAUCUCAAACAUUGUAAUGGCUGUCUGCUUUAUUGCAAUUCUUGUAGUAACCUAUGUCGCAAAUAGUAUUGGCUAUCUUGGCAAAGAUCAACCACCAAUUGGCAUUUUGAUAGCAGCAGUAAUAAUUUUUACCAUUCUUGGGUUCCCAUUGGCGAUUACUUACAGUGUACCAUAUGCCUUAAUCUCAGCACAUAUUGAGUCUUUGGGACUUGGCCAAGGGUUGUCAAUGGGUGUUCUAAAUCUGGCAAUUGUGAUCCCUCAGAUAGUGGUGUCUCUGGGAAGUGGACCAUGGGAUCAGCUAUUUGGUGGUGGAAACUCCCCAGCAUUUGCUGUCGCAGCUAUUGCAGCCCUUAUCAGUGGACUCAUAGCUGUCUUGGCUAUUCCUCGAUCUGGCUCUGGUUCUCAAAAGGCAAGAACCCACGUUUGAGGUAUCGUGUUCUUUCUGAUUAUGGCACUGGUUUCUUUUGAGUUUUGAAGGGGGAUGGCGAUAAAUAAAGAGUCUUGUAGGUUUCUGAGGCAUUUUAUUUUUUGGGAACCUGCUCCCUUGUUGGAGAUCCUGAUGAAUUUAACAGUCUAUGUAGAACAGUCAGAAUGUUUGUGGUAUGUAAACCAUGACGGAUCCUCUGUUUAGUGCAAGAAAGGUGAAUGCUCUUCCAUCUUCAUGUCCAAGGAUCAAGAUAAAUGUCAUGUAGCUCUACUCUUUUAGAUAUCCUAGCCGGCAUGCAACACUAAAAGUUGUCACAAAAUACUGCACAAGAGAUUAUCUGCAAUGAGUGAAGAAUUUCUUAAUUGCAAAUCAGUCCCACCUGUGUAAGAUGUUGCUUUCAUGGCCUAAAUGCCGCGGCAAAUUAGCUGGAGUUGGAGCAUCUUCAGAAGGCGGUAAAGCUACUGUCAGGCAGCAUACUUUCCAACCGAGAUGAUUUACUGUUGAUUUGGAAUUAUUCCGCAUGAAGUGUUCAUUGUGCGAAGGUGAUUCAAUCAAUGAUGUAUUGGAAUCUUAUGCAUAGCAUACGUGUGAUUUUUUUGUCUGUGUGAAGAAUGUGCUUAGUGGCCAGCAGUGAAUAUGUGAAUUGUGCUGAUUGAAACCGUGAUGGAGACUUUGCUUCAAUGCUCCAAUUUUUGUCACUUGCAAAAGAGAAAUUCUUGGAUGACGGGUUUUAUUAAUAAUUGUCAAUAAAUACUUGUAUUUCCCAUACUUUGUGAGGUGUCAACCCUUCAAUGAGAAUUACAGUCAAUAUAAGCUACCAGAUUA